GACAUCAAUCUCCAUUGGCGUUGAUUGUUGUACCAUAGAAUUACAUAGUAGCAUAAAACUUUGUACUAUAGGUUGUGCUCUAUGAUUUUUGAAAUCUAUACCAUUGACCUUCUCUGCAAUCCAAAUUGCCUCUUUGAAUGUUUGUGGAUCUCUUAGUUCCUCCUCUCGCUAGAUUCUAAGUUUUAAAUCUCAUAGAAAUGAAUCCAUCAUCUUUGCCUCUAAAACAUUAUCAAUUUAGAGCCAUAGGAACUUAAAUCAUAAGAUAUAAUCUUCUUUUGACCUAGCCUGUGUAAGAUUUGUUAACUGAUCGCAUGCUAUCUUCUUCGCAUUGAUGGGCCAAAAUUGAUUCUUAAACUCGGUCUCAAACUCCUUUUAGUCACAAAAUCCACCUUGA
rnacentral:lncRNA from 1 species